GGCAAGACAUCUUCAUCUCGUAAAGGUUGCUCAACGGACUCAAAGUGAUGAUGCCUUUCAAAUUGAGUGAAACUAAAAUGCCAGGCCCCCUGCUACUUCUGCUGUGCUGGAGCUAUGUCUUGAAAGCUACACACGCAUCAAUUAUAACCCAGACACCUGGAGUGGUGAUGGUGAAAGCUGGUGAUACAGUGACCUUGAAAUGCCAUUUGAGUGAGGUUAUCACCUACUGCUUCUCUGUGAGUUGGAUAAAAGUGGAUCCCAGGACUGGAACACACAGCAUGAGUACAACCUUAACGGUUGAUAACAUUUCAACGGACCAGGAACAGGACAACCUAUGUUCCGUUAUAAUCACCAAUGCAAAAGUUAGCGACUCUGGCAUGUACUACUGUUUGGCUGUUCACUCCAAAAUGGUGUACUCUGGCAAUGGUUCUAAGGUUAUUAUUUUGACAGAGAGAGAAAGGGUAGGGAACAGCACUAAAGCCCCAACCAUCCAAAUCGUCUCUUCGCCAGAGGUUGACCGCAUCUUCAUCCCUCUGCUGUGUUUGGUGUUGGAAGUGGUCCCGUCUCAGGUCCGUGUGUUCUGGCUCAUAGACGGGAGAGAAGAGAGUGGACUCACUGACUCCACCUGGACAGACAACAGUGAUUCAGCCACAGAGUUCACUAGGAACCAGAUUCUUGUCCAGGCACAGGAGUGGGACAGACGAGCAGAGUUUACAUGUGUGGUGGAGUUUGAGGGGAAAAAUAUCACCAAAACACUGCUGCAGCAAAAUGAUUCCAAUGCCAUGUGCACAAUGUUGAUGUAUGGGGCCUCUGCAGCUGCUCUCCUCACCAUAAUAGUUGCUGUCACUAUCGCUGUGUGUCUGCACCGUGGUAAGAUCAAAUCAAUGGAUAAUGGGCCAAUACUGUAUAACAAACACCAAAUGAUCGUGUGCAAGACAAUUUAUACCAUAGUACUCAGAAAAGGAUGUUAUGACCAUUGUAAUUUAGGGGAAACAUGCCCCAUCAAUUGGUACAUUUGCAGGAUAUACAUUUACAAGAUGUAGUCUUUUUAAUAACUUACUAGUACCCACUCAAAACACCAAGUGCACUUUGUGAUGCCUAUGGUUAUGGGUAGUCAUGUAGGUAAACCAGUUCAGAGGUCAGACCUAUAUGGGUCAAGUUAUUUUAUUUUGUUACACAAUAGAAUAGGUGGCUAAAUAUGGGAGAAAAUAUUUUAUUCCAUUAGGUCAUUUUCUGAGGAAAUUGAAUAAAAUCGGAUUUCGUAGGCCUGUAUUUUCUCUUGCACAGGAAUGUUGAGAAUUAAAAUCUGUUGAUAAUUCUUGACUUUGUUCCUCUUUUCCCUCUUUCACACAAGUCAGGCUCUCUGUAGUGGUUACAGUGACCUUUAUGGCAAGUGUCUGCUACGUUUAGACAGCAGUCUACUCCACCUGCUUUUGAGAUCAAAGAGUCAAUAUUAACAAAUGGCCAUGGACAACAAACAUUAUCACUGAAUCAUGAUGCUUUCUUCAACCUGGAUAUUAAAUGUGUUAUUUUGAUUGUUUUUUCCUAUAGGGCAUCCUGUGGUUGUUGAUGCUGAUACAAGGUUUGAGUCUGACAUUCAAUGCAAAUUUGGAUUAUAGAAAAGCCUGUGAUUGCUAGAGUGUGAAAUCCUCUGUUUUAAUUUCAGACAAAGAGGCACAGGCACUGAGAACAGACGGGAUCAAUCUGGGAGACGUGGAGAAGCAAGAAGACCAGUUAGAUCAUCGUUCUCGGAGGUCCAGUAUGCGACUUUGGACCAUAUCAAUUUUGGGAGACGCACAAAUACAGUUCUCCAAUCAGAUGUUGACAAAGAAAUUGCAUAAAAAUUCCUUGUAUUUUGUCAUGAUGUAGAUGCUUAUGAACUGCCACUGAAAACAUUUCAGAUUAUUAUUUGUGUAGCCGGUGUCCUCAAUUGCAAAGUACUUUCUUUUAUAUUGGAAUUCAACUGUGGACUAGUCUCCCAUUAGUCAUCAAGCUGUCCCAGUCCAGAAAGGCUUUCAGAGGUCAGGUUAGAUCCCUUCCGUCAGAAAAAGUGCACAGGUCUAAAUAGGAAAAUUACUGAAUAUUCUUGAAUUUUGUAUGGAUUGUGUAUUUAUUAUGGUGUAGGCUAGUUAGGGACUUAUCAUAGGCCCAUGUCACAGGAGGUUGAUGCCACCUUAAUUGGGGAGGAUGGGCUCGUGGUAUUGGCUGGAGUGGAAUAGUAUGAAAUACAUCAAACACAUGGAUUGAUGCCAAUCCAUUUGCUUUGUUCCAGACAUGAUUAUCAGCCAUUCUCCCCUCAGCAGCCUCCACUGGCCCAUGUAUUUCCAUGGAUUGUCUUGUGUUGCGUCCUGUUUUUGUCCAACACAGAAAACCACAUUGGAAAUAAGUGUUCUUAUACUAUUGUGUGUCAUCCUCUGGGAUUCUUUGUACUUUUAAAACUGUAAGAAUUGUAUUAUCCAAAAUCAAAUCAAUCAAUGAAUAUGGCUUGUA